UACAGAGGCCUCGAGCGUUAGGCGGAAUCACUGGGCUUAAAGCGUGUGUAGGCGGAUCGUUAAGUACCUUGUGAAAUCCCACGGCUCAACCGUGGAACUGCUUGGUAUACUGGCGGUCUUGCGCAACCUAGGGGCGAGCGGAACAGAUGGUGGAGCGGUGAAAUGCGUAGAUAUCAUCUGGAACGCCAAUGGUGAAAACAGCUCGCUGGGGGUUUGCAGACGCUGAGACACGAAAGCCGGGGGAGCAAACGGG
rnacentral:rRNA from 1 species